rnacentral:rRNA from 1 species
AGCAGCCGCGGUAAUUCCAGCUCCAAUAGCGUAUAUUAAAGUUGUUGCAGUUAAAAAGCUCGUAGUUGAAUUUCGGGGUUAGUAGAUUGGUCAUGCCUCUGGUAUGUACUGGUCUUACUGAUUCCUCCUUCCUGAUGAACCGUAAUGCCAUUAAUUUGGUGUUGCGGGGAGACUGGACUGUUACUUUGAAAAAUUGAGUGUUUAAAGCAGGCUAACGCUUGAAUACAUUAGCAUGGAAUAAUGAAAUAGGACGUUCGAUCUUAUUUUGUUGGUUUCUAGGAUUGACGUAAUGAUUAAUAGGGAUAGUUGGGGCAUUAGUAUUCGAAUUGUCAGAGGUGAAAUUCUUGGAUUUAUUGAAGACUAACUACUGCGAAAGCAUUUGCCAAGGAUGUUUCAUUAAUCAAGAACGAAGUUAGGGAUCGAAGACGAUCAGAUACCGUCGUAGUACUUAACCA